CAAUAGCGUAUAUUAAAGUCGUUGCAGUUAAAAAGCUCGUAGUUGGAUUUGUGGCGUACGGUGUGUUCCGGGCACUUGUUGUCUGAGUAACCUGCUGUUGCCAUCCAUGGGUGGAACCUGUGUGGCAUUAGGUUGUCGUGCAGGGGAUGCCCAUCAUUUACUGUGAAAAAAUUAGAGUGUUCAAAGCAGGCUUAUGCCGUUGAAUAUAUUAGCAUGGAAUAAUGAGAUAGGACUUUUUUGCUAUUUUGUUGGUUUGCGCAAAGAGGUAAUGAUUAAUAGGGACAGUUGGGGGUAUUCGUAUUCCAUUGUCAGAGGUGAAAUUCUUGGAUUUCUGGAAGACGAACUACUGCGAAAGCAUUUACCAAGGAUGUUUUCAUUAA
rnacentral:rRNA from 1 species